rnacentral:rRNA from 1 species
AACGAACGCUGGCGGCAUGCCUAACACAUGCAAGUCGAACGAGACCUUCGGGUCUAGUGGCGCACGGGUGCGUAACGCGUGGGAACCUGCCCUUAGGUUCGGAAUAACUCCCCGAAAGGGGUGCUAAUACCGGAUAAUGUCUUCGGACCAAAGAUUUAUCGCCUUAGGAUGGGCCCGCGUUGGAUUAGCUAGUUGGUAGGGUAAAAGCCUACCAAGGCGACGAUCCAUAGCUGGUCUGAGGGGAUGAUCAGCCACACUGGGACUGAGACACGGCCCAGACUCCUACGGGAGGCAGCAGUGGGGAAUAUUGGACAAUGGGCGAAAGCCUGAUCCAGCAAUGCCGCGUGAGUGAUGAAGGCCUUAGGGUUGUAAAGCUCUUUUACCCGGGAUGAUAAUGACAGUACCGGGAGAAUAAGCUCCGGCUAACUCCGUG